rnacentral:tRNA from 1 species
AGUAAAAUAAGCUAAUUUAAGCUGUUGGGCUCAUACCCCAAAAAUAGACAUAGUCUUUUUACUA